rnacentral:rRNA from 1 species
GGGCCCGCACAAGCGGAGGAACAUGUGGUUUAAUUCGAUGAUACGCGAGGAACCUUACCCGGGCUCGAACGGCAGAUGGACUAUGCAGAGACGCAUAGGCUCUUCGGAGCGUCUGUCGAGGUGCUGCAUGGUUGUCGUCAGCUCGUGCCGUGAGGUGUCGGCUUAAGUGCCAUAACGAGCGCAACCCUUGUCGAUAGUUGCCAUCGGGUCGAGCCGGGGACUCUAUCGAGACUGCCUCCGUAAGGUGAGAGGAAGGGGGGGAUGACGUCAAAUCAGCACGGCCCUUACGUCCGGGGCGACACACGUGUUACAAUGGUGGUUACAGAGGGCUGCUCCCUGGUGACAGGUUGCCAAUCUCCAAAAGCCAUCUCAGUUCGGAUCGGAGUCUGCAACUCGACUCCGUGAAGUUGGAUUCGCUAGUAAUCGCACAUCAGCCACGGUGCGGUGAAUACGUUCCCGGGCCUU